GGGGAUUUAGCUCAGCAGCAUAAGCACCUGCCUUGCAAGCUGGUGGUUGUGAGUUCAAUCCCCG
rnacentral:tRNA from 1 species